rnacentral:lncRNA from 1 species
GUCAACUGGGUGCUGUGGAGCAACACCUUCAUUUGGUAAACCCCAGAUCUAUCCAAGUCUUUCUGCAGUUAAAACAAAGGUGACAUCCUUCACUGUGCACCUGAUAUCAUCCAUACCAUAAGCCAUAGAGCUUGAGAACUCCCUCACAAGCCUUGGAUAGGUUGGCUGUUUCAUUGAAUAAAAUCUAUCUUAGCCUGGCCUAUAGAUCCAAGUGCCAAUCCAGAACUCA